rnacentral:rRNA from 1 species
CAAUAGCGUAUAUUAAAGUUGUUGCAGUUAAAAAGCUCGUAGUUGGAUUUCGGGAUGGCCCGGCCGGUCUGCCGCAAGGUAUGUUACUGGCCGAGCUGUUCUUCUUCGCAAAGACUGUGUGUGCUCUUAACUGAGUGUGCUCAGGAUCUGUGACGUUUACUUUGAAAAAAUUAGAGUGUUCAAAGCAAGCCAGCGCUUGAAUACAUAAGCAUGGAAUAAUGGAAUAGGACUUUGGUUCUAUUUUGUUGGUUUCUGGAACCUUAGUAAUGAUUAAGAGAGACAGUUGGGGGCAUUCGUAUUUCGUUGUCAGAGGUGAAAUUCUUGGAUUUACGAAAGACGAACUACUGCGAAAGCAUUUGCCAAGAAUGUUUUCAUUAA